AAAUCAUAGUGACGAAGAACAGACAAAUGUUGGGCACAGGUUAAGGUUAGAAAGAAGCUGUGAUGAUGAAAGGUUUUGUAAUGCCAUAAUCUGAGAUUACUUCGAAUAAACAUGGCCUGAGUUUUAAAAAUGUAAAUGGAGAAACAUUUUCCACAAUGGAAAGAGCUUGUGCUUUGGAUUCAGUCACAUUUAGAGUUAAGUCCUGAUUCUGCCACUUUCUAGCUAUGAGAGCUUGAAUAAUUUACUUAACUUUCCUAAGUCUCAGUUUCUUUUUCAAUAAAAUGGAAACAAUAACACAUA